CAUAAUCUGUAGGCAGAAUAUACACACAAGCCAUCAACAAAACAUGCAACAUCCAAAACAUAAAGUCUCAGACAUUUAUUGUAUUUGAAGGGUUUUUUCUUCUUCGUUGUGUUGUUUCAGCUGUUUACAGGUCAUGAUUUCACAGAUAGUCAUUGGUCGACAGCACUUUUUUUUUUCAUUACACAGUCAACUCCUUGACUGCAGACACGCAUCUCUGUCCAGUUAUAUAAUUUAAUUUUUUAUUCUUUAUAUUUUUUAGAAACUCACAG